rnacentral:rRNA from 1 species
UACGUAGGGUGCAAGCGUUGUCCGGAAUUAUUGGGCGUAAAGAGCUCGUAGGCGGUUUGUCGCGUUCUGCUGUGAAAACCUAAGGCUCAACCUUGGGCUUGCAGUGGGUACGGGCAGACUAGAGUGCGGUAGGGGUGACUGGAAUUCCUGGUGUAGCGGUGAAAUGCGCAGAUAUCAGGAGGAACACCGGUGGCGAAGGCGGGGUCUCU